GCGAGCAGGUUGGGUAGCUUCGGCUUUGCAUCAAAGCAAAGCUGAGGAAGUUCCGUCCACCUUGAGAGGGUGUCGCAAGACUGCCUGAGAAGGCAGCGCCGAUAUCAGAAACGAGACUUUCCAGCCUCGGUAACAAUGAAGUUAAACGGAGUUGAGGCUGAGAAAGAUGAAACGGAUCGGCGCCCCUGUGAGGUGCAAGUUUGAAACGCUUAGACAAAUGCUACCUUGAACAAAAGACGGGCUAUAACCUGCACGC
rnacentral:RNase_P_RNA from 1 species